rnacentral:rRNA from 1 species
CCAGACUCCUACGGGAGGCAGCAGUGGGGAAUAUUGGACAAUGGACCGAGAGUCUGAUCCAGCAAUUCUGUGUGCACGAUGAAGUUUUUCGGAAUGUAAAGUGCUUUCAGUUGGGAAGAAAAAAAUGACGGUACCAACAGAAGAAGUGACGGCUAAAUACGUGCCAGCAGCCGCGGUAAUACGUAUGUCACGAGCGUUAUCCGGAUUUAUUGGGCGUAAAGCGCGUCUAGGUGGUUAUGUAAGUCUGAUGUGAAAAUGCAGAGCUCAACUCUGUAUUGCGUUGGAAACUGUAUAACUAGAGUACUGGAGAGGUAAGCGGAACUACAAGUGUAGAGGUGAAAUUCGUAGAUAUUUGUAGGAAUGCCGAUGGGGAAGCCAGCUUACUGGACAGAUACUGACGCUAAAACGCGAAAGCGUGGGUAGCAAACAGGAUUAGAUACCCUGGUAGUCCACGCUGUAAACGAUGAUUACUAGGUGUUGGGGGUCGAACCUCAGCGCCCAAGCAAACGCGAUAAGUAAUCCGCCUGGGGAGUACGUACGCAAGUAUGAAACUCAAAGGAAUUGACGGGGGCCCGCACAAG